rnacentral:rRNA from 1 species
AUUGAACGCUGGCGGCAUGCCUUACACAUGCAAGUCGAACGGCAGCACGGGGGGUACCCUCUGGUGGCGAGUGGCGAACGGGUGAGUAAUAUAUCGGAACGUGUCCUGUAGCGGGGGAUAACCUUUCGAAAGAUGGACUAAUACCGCAUACGACCUACGGGUGAAAGCGGAGGACCGCAAGGCUUCGCACUAUAGGAGCGGCCGAUAUCGGAUUAGCUAGUUGGCGGGGUAACGGCCCACCAAGGCGACGAUCCGUAGCUGGUCUGAGAGGACGAUUAGCCACACUGGAACUGAGACACGGUCGAGACUCCUACGGGAGGGAGCAGUGGGGAGUUUUGGACAAUGGGCGCGAGCCUGAUCCAGCCAUGCCGCGUGAGUGAAGAAGGCCUUCGGGUUGUAAAGCUCUUUCGGCGGGGACGAAACGGUUCGUGCUAAUACCACGGACUACUGACGGUACCCGCAGAAGAAGCACCGGCUAACUACGUG